rnacentral:rRNA from 1 species
GAUGAACGCUAGCUACAGGCUUAACACAUGCAAGUCGAGGGACCGGCGCACGGGUGAGUAACACGUAUCCAACCUGCCCUUUACUCGGGGAUAGCCUUUCGAAAGAAAGAUUAAUACCCGAUAUAAAGGAUGGGGAUGCGUUCCAUUAGGUUGUUGGUGAGGUAACGGCCCACCAAGCCUUCGAUGGAUAGGGGUUCUGCGAGGAAGGACCCCCAGAUUGGAACUGAGACACGGUCCAAACGCCGACGAGAGGGAGCAGUGAGGGAUAUUGGGCAAUGAGCGGUAGCCUGAACCAGCCAAGUAGCGUGAAGGAUGAAGGGUUAUGGGUCGUAAACUUCUUUUAUAUAAGAAUAUGUAUGAUAUGAAUAAGGAUCGGCUAACUCCGUGCCAGCAGCCGCGGUAAUAC